GAUGAACGCUGGCGGCGUGCCUAAUACAUGCAAGUCGAGCGAACAGACGAGGAGCUUGCUCCUCUGACGUUAGCGGCGGACGGGUGAGUAACACAUGGAUAACCUACCUAUAAGACUGAGAUAACUUCGGGAAACCGGAGCUAAUACCGGAUAAUAUAUUGAACCGCAUGGUUCAAUAGUGAAAGACGGUUUUGCUGUCACUUAUAGAUGGAUCCGCGCCGCAUUAGCUAGUUGGUAAGGUAACGGCUUACCAAGGCAACGAUGCGUAGCCGACCUGAGAGGGUGAUCGGCCACACUGGAACUGAGACACGGUCCAGACUCCUACGGGAGGCAGCAGUAGGGAAUCUUCCGCAAUGGGCGAAAGCCUGACGGAGCAACGCCGCGUGAGUGAUGAAGGUCUUCGGAUCGUAAAACUCUGUUAUUAGGGAAGAACAAAUGUGUAAGUAACUAUGCACGUCUUGACGGUACCUAAUCAGAAAGCCACGGCUAACUACGUG
rnacentral:rRNA from 1 species